AUGGCCGAAUGCUUCAAUAGGGUGCUCAAAGGUGCACGUGGAUUACCCGUGACGGCAAUAGUUCAAUACACAUUUGACAAGAUGAAUGCGUACUUUGUAAAGUACUCGAUGGAAACCGAUGCACAGAUAGCGGGUGAGAACCCACGGAAGUACAAGUACAAGUUCCCACCCAAAGUUGAUGAAUGGUUGCUAUUUCAAUCACGGAAGGCGGACUCAGAAGAAGCUAUAUUAUAUGAUAAUGAGGAGUGGAAGUACGAAGUGAAAGAGCCAGGAGGAACCACAAACGAUGGCCGGCAACAUGGAGGUCGGGCUUUCAAGGUGUCGUUAACACAAUGUGAUUGCACUUGCGGGAGGCCAUUGUUGCUUCAUCUCCCAUGCUCACAUUUGUAUGCCGCCGGCCGCGUUAGGAAUGUGGACAUCAAUCACCCACGCACCGUGAGGGAGUCCCAGUUCUCAAUCAUGACGGUCAAGAAAACAUGGGCUCCCCGCUUUCACCCAUACUUUGACCAAUCACAAUGGCCGGAGUAUCAUGGAGUUCAACUAUGGCUGGAUCCG
rnacentral:rRNA from 1 species